CUCCACCCGGUUGUAGCUGUUCCUCACCGCUGGGCAAGCGCUUCCCCCUCCUCCCCCACCACCCCAGGAUGGAUUGGUACCUUUCCUGCCUUCCUCAGCCACCUUGCCAAGAGGCCAUUUUCUCUCUCCACUCUUUCCUUCAACUCUGCUAACAACGAAAGUACAUCCUAAAUUGGCCUGGUUUCACACUACAGGAGAUUUGACACCUUCCUCCUCGGAAGCAGCUGUGAGACACCACCAUCUUUCUCCCAAGGCCCAGCUAUUAACUCAACAGUCCCCAGACCCAAGCGAAGUCAGCAGAAGAAAGAAAUGGUUCGAGGCAAAUAGAGGCUCUCUUAUCUCUGCAAGGAGCUGGGCAUUGUGGCACAGUGAAUCAAAUUCCCAACUCGACACCUGGGCCCAUGGUAAAACUGCUCAACCAGAUUUCGAUCUCUCUUUUCAUAGAAGAUGCUGAGAGGGGCCAUCACCUUAGUCUCACUCACCAGACUGACUGCGCGUGCGGGUGCUCAGAACCACAGGAAUAAAGUCACGGAAACUGCUCUUUGCUUUCU
rnacentral:lncRNA from 1 species